GAUGAAUAACGUAGCGAAAUGCGAUAAGUAAUGUGAAUUGCAGAAUUCAGUGAAUCAUCGAAUCUUUGAACGCACAUUGCGCCCCCUGGUAUUCCGGGGGGCAUGCCUGUCCGAGCGUCAUUACAACCCUCAAGCUCAGCUUGGUAUUGGGCCCCGCCGCUCCGGCGGGCCCUAAAGUCAGUGGCGGUGCCGUCCGGCUCCGAGCGUAGUAAUUCUUCUCGCUCUGGAGGCCCGGUCGUGUGCUCGCCAGCAACCCCCAAUUUUUUUCAGGUUGACCUCGGAUCAGGUAGGGAUACCCGCUGAACUUAAGCAUAUCAAUAAGCGGAGGA
rnacentral:misc_RNA from 1 species